rnacentral:rRNA from 1 species
GAUGAACGCUGGCGGCGUGCCUAAUACAUGCAAGUCGAGCGAACAGAUGAGGAGCUUGCUCCUCUGACGUUAGCGGCGGACGGGUGAGUAACACGUGGAUAACCUACCUAUAAGACUGGGAUAACUUCGGGAAACCGGAGCUAAUACCGGAUAAUAUAUUGAACCGCAUGGUUCAAUAGUGAAAGACGGUUUUGCUGUCACUUAUAGAUGGAUCCGCGCCGCAUUAGCUAGUUGGUAAGGUAACGGCUUACCAAGGCAACGAUGCGUAGCCGACCUGAGAGGGUGAUCGGCCACACUGGAAGUGAGACACGGUCCAGGCUACUACGGGAGGCAGCAGUAGGGAAUCGUCCGCAAUGGGCGAAAGCUUGACGGAGCAACGCCGCGUGAGUGAUGAAGGUCUUCGGAUCGGAAAACUCUGUUAUUAGGGAAGAACAAAUGUGUAAGUAACUAUGCACGUCUUGACGGUAACUAAUCAGAAAGCCACGGCUAACUACGUG